AGAUUGAACGCUGGCGGCAGGCCUAACACAUGCAAGUCGAGCGGCAGCGGGGAGUAGUUUACUACUUUGCCGGCGAGCGGCGGACGGGUGAGUAAUGUCUGGGAAACUGCCUGAUGGAGGGGGAUAACUACUGGAAACGGUAGCUAAUACCGCAUAACGUCUUCGGACCAAAGUGGGGGACCUUCGGGCCUCACGCCAUCGGAUGUGCCCAGAUGGGAUUAGCUAGUAGGUGGGGUAAUGGCUCACCUAGGCGACGAUCCCUAGCUGGUCUGAGAGGAUGACCAGCCACACUGGAACUGAGACACGGUCCAGACUCCUACGGGAGGCAGCAGUGGGGAAUAUUGCACAAUGGGCGCAAGCCUGAUGCAGCCAUGCCGCGUGUGUGAAGAAGGCCUUCGGGUUGUAAAGCACUUUCAGCGAGGAGGAAGGCAUAAAGGUUAAUAACCUUUGUGAUUGACGUUACUCGCAGAAGAAGCACCGGCUA
rnacentral:rRNA from 1 species